UUAUGUCAAAUUUUAAACUUAUGAUUGAGUUUGAUUAAUAAUAUGCUCGUAGUAUCUUUUUGGAUUCAUUAUAUUGUAUGUUUAAUAGUUGUGAUGAAGAUAAUUGAGAAACCUUGUGUUUGUAGUGAUGUUUCUUACUAUAGCUAUCUACCAGAUGAAAUUGUUCUCUUAAUAUUGAAUAAAAUAGUUGAUUUGAAAACCUUAUGCCGUUGUAAACUCGUUUCUAAACAAUUCAAUCUGAUCGUCCAUCAAGUCGACACCAUUUCUUUCAUUGCUUCUCGUGCAGACAACCCCACCAGUUAUGAUUCCGACCCAUCUGCUGCUGAUGAUGCCAGAAAUCCUAAAAAGCUUUUGCAUUUCCUUUCUAAACCCUUUUGUCGUCCUGCUGCAUCUUAUGAAUGUGAGUCUUUCCGGUCUGCAAUCGAGUCUUUGAGUAAGUUUACACGACUCAAGUCUCUAUGUAUUGAGCUCCCGUCAACCCGACAAGAUGUUGUUGAUAAUGGUUCUGAUUUGUACAAGUGGAAGGUUAAGUUUGGUAGAAAAAUCAAAUCAUUUGUAUUUCUGUCACCGAAUUCAGUUUGUGAUAUGAAAGGAUUAUCAAAUGUUAAUGAAAAUGGCCUGGAAGCAGAACAUUUUGGUAUAGAUUUAUGGUUGAAGAAAGUUCAGUGGGCUGUUGAUUGUUUGAGGGAUGCAGUUGUGAGGUUUAGGAUGUUGUUGGGUUGCGCUCAUGAUUUUCCGUUGUUGGAAAAGGUUUUGAUAACGCAGUCGGGUAAAAGGGGGUCAGUUUCUAUUAGUGGUAAAGACAUUGUUGAGAUGAGGAAGUGGCUACAUUCACCCACUGAUUGUUUGGAACAGAAGCUGAUCAGUGAUAGCAUGGAUCUUCCUAGUAGGUUAUGCCAGUCUUACGCCCCGUUGUUGAAACUCCCAGUUUCAGGAUACGUGAUGAAGGGGGUAACUCUAAGUUUCUAUCACAAGAAGGAUGACAUUGAUGAUCAUUGUUUUAUGAAUAUCUAUUUGGAUGAUUUUGAAGAUAAAGAAGAGGCUGCAUAAUGUGAAGCCAUGUUGGAGAUGUUGAAGGUCCUUAGGAGGCAGACAUAGCAGAUGUUGUACGGAUGAUGUGCAAAUCCUAUCCUAUCGAUGUAUACAUUUGGAUGUUAGUGUGACUUUAUCAAGUCCUACUUUAUAGUCUUUGUAACAACUUAAUAAUUUUACCAUGAAUCAUGGGAAUAUUUGUAUUGUUUGCUGAGUAUAAAUUGGUAAAUAUAUGCUUCUAA